AAUAUUGCACAAUGGGCGAAAGCCUGAUGCAGCAACGCCGCGUGAGGGAUGACGGCCUUCGGGUUGUAAACCUCUUGUCGUAGGGAAGAAGCGAAAGUGACGGUACCUGCAGAAAAAGCACCGGCCAACUACGUGCCAGGAGCCGCGGUAAUACGUAGGGGGCAGGCGUUGUCCGGAAUUAUUGGGCGUAAAGAGUCCGAAGUGGGCUUGGCGCGUCUGCUGUGAAAUCCCGGAGCUCAUCGCCGGGCGUGCAGUGGGUACGGGCAGGCUAGAGGGCGGUAGGGGAGAUUGGAAUUCCUGGUGUAGCGGUGGAAUGCGCAGAUAUCAGGAGGAACACCGAUGGCGAAGGCAGAUCUCUGGGCCGCUACUGACGCUGAGGAGCGAAAGCAUGGGGAGCGAACA
rnacentral:rRNA from 1 species